GGCCGGACCACGUCGGGACAGGCGGGGCCCGGCACUGCGUCGCCCUGAGCGGGGCGGGGCCUAGUGGGGAGUCCCUCCAAGGCUGGGGCAGGAACGGCUCCGGAGAAAAGUUUGCUGAGCUCCCAUAGCUUCUCUUUGAGUAGUCCAGUGUGUAAGAGGGACGCCUGGGUGGCUCACUCAGCAUUGCGAGCCUCAAAGACAGAAAACAACCCAAGCCUCUGUCACCAGUGGAAAGUCUCCAGUUAAACACCAUAGAACGUGGAGAAAUUAGGGGCAAAAUUUAGAAGAAAAAUGAAGGACUCAAGAGAUGAAAUGUCAAGGCCCUUAGCUCUCACCUGAUUAAUUAGGGGGCGGGGCAGCAGGGUUGUGUGCAUUGCACCUGCCCUGGGUGGUGUUGUCUUGGGCUCCCAGGCACUCAGUGGCUCAUAAGUGGAGAAUGACUCUUGGAGUCUACUUUGUAGACCCAACCUGACAGUUCCAACUGAUCUAUGGGCCUCUCUUACGUCUUGCUUUUUAUCUCUCAUCUUAAAGAAAACAAAUUGGAAGCAAAAAAAAAAAGUAACUUGUUGGAUGAUAAGUCAGAAAGUUGCUAUUUGCCUCCAAGCGCUAGUGGGCUUUAGUACAUGUUCUGAAUACAGUAUAAAAUUAUCACGGGCAGCCAAAUGUCCAUCGAUGGAUGAAUGGAGAAAGAAGAUGUGGUACACACACACACACACACACACACACACACACACACAAUGGAGUAUUACU